GGCAGUUAUAGGCUGGUGCUCAGUGGCGCGGUUUGCCUGGCUCAUUCUGAUAACAAACGAGACUCUGGCAUGCUAACUAGUUAUGCAACUCCCAAGCAGUUGGAUCCAACUUCUUAGAGGGCCAUGUGGCAUUCAGCCAUGGGAGACUGAGCAGUAACAGGUCUGUG
rnacentral:ncRNA from 1 species